rnacentral:rRNA from 1 species
UGGGGAAUCUUCCGCAAUGGACGAAAGUCUGACGGAGCAACGCCGCGUGAGUGAUGAAGGAUUUCGGUCUGUAAAGCUCUGUUGUUUAUGACGAACGUGCAGUGUGUGAACAAUGCAUUGCAAUGACGGUAGUAAACGAGGAAGCCACGGCUAACUACGUGCCAGCAGCCGCGGUAAUACGUAGGUGGCGAGCGUUGUCCGGAAUUAUUGGGCGUAAAGAGCAUGUAGGCGGCUUAAUAAGUCGAGCGUGAAAAUGCGGGGCUCAACCCCGUAUGGCGCUGGAAACUGUUAGGCUUGAGUGCAGGAGAGGAAAGGGGAAUUCCCAGUGUAGCGGUGAAAUGCGUAGAUAUUGGGAGGAACACCAGUGGCGAAGGAGCCUUUCUGGACUGUGUCUGACGCUGAGAUGCGAAAGCCAGGGUAGCGAACGGG